UCUAAGAAGCAGCCGAGUUCCGCUUGCAGAGAGCGGGAGCGGGGGAACCACUGGGAGCGACGAGAGACGCUCCCCGGGGCGCAGGUGGGUACACCCACCGGGGCACGUUCAAGCCCUAGCCCGUCAGCUAACCUCGUAGGCCGGCGCGGGAGCGUCU
rnacentral:sRNA from 2 species